rnacentral:rRNA from 1 species
GACGAACGCUGGCGGCGUGCUUAACACAUGCAAGUCGAACGGUGAAGGGGAGCUUGCUCCCCGGGUGGCGAACGGGUGAGUAACACGUGGGCAACCUGCCCCAGACUUCGGGAUAACGCUUCGAAAGAGGUGCUAAUACCGGAUACGAACUCCUUGGGCAUCCUGGGAGUUGGAAAGUUUUUCGGUCUGGGAUGGGCCCGCGGCCUAUCAGCUUGUUGGUGAGGUAACGGCUCACCAAGGCGACGACGGGUAGCCGGCCUGAGAGGGCGACCGGCCACACUGGGACUGAGACACGGCCCAGACUCCUACGGGAGGCAGCAGUGGGGAAUAUUGCGCAAUGGGCGAAAGCCUGACGCAGCAACGCCGCGUGAGGGAUGACGGCCUUCGGGUUGUAAACCUCUUUCGGCAGGGAAGAAGCGAAAGUGACGGUACCUGCAGAAGAAGCACCGGCUAACUACGUGCCAGCCGCCGCGGUAACAC